rnacentral:rRNA from 1 species
CCUACGGGGGGCAGCAGUAGGGAAUUUUCGUCAAUGGGCGCAAGCCUGAACGAGCAAUGCCGCGUGACCGAGGAAGGUCUUCGGAUCGUAAAGUUCUGUUGAAGGGGAAAAAGAGCGGAGAGAGGAAAUGAACUCCGAUUGAUAUUACCCUUCGAGGAAGUCACGGCUACCUACGUGCCAGCAGCCGCGGUAAUACGUAGGUGGCGAGCGUUAUCCGGAAUGAUUGGGCGUAAAGGUGGCGUAGGCGGCCUGCUAAGUCUGGAGUGAAAGGUACCGGCUCAACCGGUACAGGCUCUGGAAACUGGCGGGCUAGAGAGCAGGAGAGGGCGGUGGAACUCCAUGUGUAGCGGUAAAAUGCGUAGAUAUAUGGAAGAACACCAGUGGCGAAGGCGGCCGCCUGGCCUGUUACUGACGCUGAGGCACGAAAGCGUGGGGAGCAAAUAGGAUUAGAUACCCGUGUAGUC